rnacentral:tRNA from 1 species
GUGGCGGAAUAGGUAGACGCGUUGGUCUCAAAAACCAAUGAGGUAACACUCGUACCGGUUCGAUCCCGGUCAGCGGCACCA